AUUGAACGCUGGCGGCGGGCCUAACACAUGCAAGUCGAGCGGCAGCGGGUCCUUCGGGAUGCCGGCGAGCGGCGGACGGGUGAGUAAUGCCUAGGAAUCUGCCUGGUAGUGGGGGAUAACGUUCGGAAACGGACGCUAAUACCGCAUACGUCCUACGGGAGAAAGUGGGGGAUCUUAGGACCUCACGUUAUCAGAUGAGCCUAGGCCGGAUUAGCUAGUUGGUGGGGUAAAGGCUCACCAAGGCGACGAUCCGUAACUGGUCUGAGAGGAUGACCAGUCACACUGUAACUGAUACACGGUCCAGACUCCUACGGGAGGCAGCAGUGGUGAAUAUUGGACAAUGGGCGAAAGCCUGAUCCAGCCAUGCCGCGUGUGUGAAGAAGGUCUUCUGAUUGUAAAGCACUUUAAGUUGGGAGGAAGGGCAGCUAGUUAAUACCUGGUUGUUUUGACGUUACCAACAGAAUAAGCACCGGCUAACUUCGUGCCAGCAGCCGCCGUAACAC
rnacentral:rRNA from 1 species